rnacentral:rRNA from 1 species
UACGAAGGGGGCUAGCGUUGCUCGGAAUUACUGGGCGUAAAGCGCACGUAGGCGGAUUGUUAAGUCGGGGGUGAAAUCCUGGAGCUCAACUCCAGAACUGCCUUCGAUACUGGCGAUCUCGAGUUCGGGAGAGGUGAGUGGAACUGCGAGUGUAGAGGUGAAAUGCGUAGAUAUCGAGAGGAACACCUGAGGUGAAGACGGGUUGCUGGGCCGACACUGACGCUGAAGCUCGAAAGCUAGGGGAGCAAACGGG